rnacentral:rRNA from 1 species
CCCGUCACACCACGAGAGUUUGUAACACCCGAAGUCGGUAGGGUAACCUUUAUGGAGCCAGCCGCCGGAAGGUGGGACAGAUAAUUGGGGUGAAGUCGUAACAAGGUAGCCGUAUCGGAAGGUGCGGCUGGAUCACCUCCUUUCUAAGGA